rnacentral:rRNA from 1 species
CCUACGGGAGGCAGCAGUGGGGAAUAUUGGGCAAUGGGCGAAAGCCUGACCCAGCAAUGCCGCGUGAAUGAAGAAGGUCUUAGGAUUGUAAAAUUCUGUCCUAUGGGAAGAAAACAAUGACGGUACCAUAGGAGGAAGCCCCGGCUAACUACGUGCCAGCAGCCGCGGUAAUACGUAGGGGGCGAGCGUUGUCCGGAAUUACUGGGGGUAAAGAGUGCGUAGGCGGCAGUACAAGUCUAAUGUGAAAUACCCGGGCUUAACGUGGGGGUUGCAUGGGAAACUGGAGAGCUUGAGUACAGGAGAGGCAAGCGGAAUGCCUAGUGUAGCGGUGAAAUGCAUAGAGAUUAGGAGGAACACCAGUGGCGAAGGCGGCUUACUGGACUGUAACUGACGCUGAGGCUCGAAAGCGUGGGGAGCAAACAGGAUUAGAUACCCGUGUAGUC